GUCGUCGUCGUCGUCGUCGUCGCAUCACCAGCCGCCGGGCCGGCCGUCGCGGCCUGCGGCUCGGAGUGACAAGCGAGACCGGCCGGAGGUGGAGACGAUCCUGCAGGAGAUGCGGGUGCCCGUCUCGGCGCUGGUCACCCCGCUCAAGGUCAACCCGCCGCCCUUCCAGUUCCCCAGCUCGGCCGGCAAGGAAGCUCCUAUCACCCCGCUUCAUCACACAUCAGAUGCUCAUGCGAGUUCGCGCGAGUCCACGCCGCGGGAGGAGGAGCGGCGACGCAUCCGACAGCCGCCGCCGCCACCGCCGCCUCCGCCCGCCGCCGCCGCCGGCAGCGCU